GGGCAUCAAAUACGAGGUCCAGCCUGCCCAGUGACAUAGUUUAACGCGCCGCGGUACCCUAACCGUGCGAAGGUCGCUUAAUCACUUGUUUCUUAAAUAGGGACUAGUAUCAACGGCAUUACGAGGGCUGCACUGUCUCCUUUCUCCAAUCAGUGAAACUGAUCUCCCCGUGAAGAAGCGGGGAUUUUAAUAUAAGACGAGAAGACCCCAUGGAGCUUUAAGCAACGAAUUUACUACGCACCAACAAUUCAACUAAUCUUAAAACCUAGAUUCUAGCUUUUGGUUGGGGGGACCGCGGAGUAUAACCCAACCUCCGCAACUAACGGGCUCUGCCCUUAUCCACGAACUACAACUCUAAGAAUCAUAAAAUUGAUGUCUUUGACCCGAAAACUCGAUCAAUGGACCAAGUUACCCUGGGGAUAACAGCGCAAUCUACUUUAAGAGCCCCUAUCGACAAGUAGGUUUACGACCUCGAUGUUGGAUCAGGGUAUCCUAGUGGUGCAGCCGCUACUAAUGGUUCGUUUGUUCAACGAUUAAAACCCUACGUGAUCUGAGUUCAGACCAGGGGAAAAU
rnacentral:rRNA from 1 species